GCCCUACGGGGCGCAGCAGUGGGGAAUAUUGCACAAUGGGGGAAACCCUGAUGCAGCGACGCCGCGUGAGUGAAGAAGUAUCUCGGUACGUAAAGCUCUAUCAGCAGGGAAGAAAAAAAGUCCUUUGGACUUUGGACGGUACCUGACCAAGAAGCCCCGGCUAACUACGUGCCAGCAGCCGCGGUAAUACGUAGGGGGCAAGCGUUAUCCGGAUUUACUGGGUGUAAAGGGUGCGUAGGCGGCUUUAUAAGUCAGAAGUGAAAUCCAUGGGCUUAACCCAUGAACUGCUUUUGAAACUGUAGAGC
rnacentral:rRNA from 1 species